GAUGAACGCUAGCGGCAGGCCUAAUACAUGCAAGUCGAACGGUGUCUUCGGACAUAGUGGCGCACGGGUGCGUAACACGUAUGCAACCUACCUUACAUUGGGGGAUAGCCUUUCGAAAGGGAGAUUAAUACCGCAUAAGACAGUAGCUGGGCAUCCAGCAGCUGUUAAAGAUUUAUCGAUGUAAGCUGGGCAUGCGUCCAAUUAGCUAGUUGGUGAGGUAACGGCUCACCAAGGCAAUGAUUGGUAGGGGAACUGAGAGGUCAAUCCCCCACACUGGCACUGAGAUACGGGACAGACUCCUACGGGAGGCAGCAGUAGGGAAUAUUGGGCAAUGGACGCAAGUCUGACCCAGCCAUGCCGCGUGCAGGAUGAAGGCGUUAUGCGUUGUAAACUGCUUUUAUACAGGAAGAAACGACUCUUGCGAGAGGCAUUGACGGUACUGUAUGAAUAAGCACCGGCUAACUCCGUGCCAGCAGCCGCUGUAACAC
rnacentral:rRNA from 1 species